rnacentral:rRNA from 1 species
AGUGAACGCUGGCGGUAGGCCUAACACAUGCAAGUCGAACGGCAGCACAGGAGAGCUUGCUCUCUGGGUGGCGAGUGGCGGACGGGUGAGGAAUACAUCGGAAUCUACUCUGUCGUGGGGGAUAACGUAGGGAAACUUACGCUAAUACCGCAUACGACCUACGGGUGAAAGCAGGGGAUCUUCGGACCUUGCGCGAUUGAAUGAGCCGAUGUCGGAUUAGCUAGUUGGCGGGGUAAAGGCCCACCAAGGCGACGAUCCGUAGCUGGUCUGAGAGGCUGAUAGGCCACACUGGAACUGAGACACGGGCCAGACUCAUACGGGAGGCAGCAGUGGGGAAUAUUGGACAAUGGGCGCAAGCCUGAUCCAGCCAUACCGCGUGGGUGAAGAAGGCCUUCGGGUUGUAAAGCCCUUUUGUUGGGAAAGAAAUCCAGCUGGCUAAUACCCGGUUGGGAUGACGGUACCCAAAGAAUAAGCACCGGCUAACUUCGUGCCAGCCGCCGCCGUAA